rnacentral:rRNA from 1 species
AGAGCGAACGCUGGCGGCAUGCCUAACACAUGCAAGUCGAACGAGGCGCUUGCGCCUAGUGGCGAACGGGUGAGUAACACGUGAGCAACCUGCCCUUGGCUCUGGGAUAGCCUCCGGAAACGGGGAUUAAUACCGGACAUGACCUUCUCCUGCAUGGGGGAGGGUGGAAAGUUUUUCGGCCAGGGAGGGGCUCGCGGCCUAGUCAGCUUGUUGGGGGGGUAACGGCCCACCAAGGCGACGACGGGUA